rnacentral:tRNA from 1 species
AAAAUGAAUCCCCUUGAAGCUGCUAACUUCAAGUCUUGCAACUAUUGUAACAUUUUCU